rnacentral:rRNA from 1 species
CCUACGGGUGGCAGCAGUGGGGAAUCUUCCGCAAUGGGCGCAAGCCUGACGGAGCAAUGCCGCGUGAACGAAGAAGGUCUUCGGAUUGUAAAGUUCUGUCCUUAUCGAAGCGAGAGUAUAGAGUGAAAAAUGAUAUACUAGGACGGUAGAUGAGGAGGAAGCCCCGGCUAACUACGUGCCAGCAGCCGCGGUAAUACGUAGGGGGCAAGCGUUAUCCGGAUUUACUGGGUGUAAAGGGAGCGUAGACGGCAAGGCAAGUCUGGAGUGAAAGGCCGUGGCUCAACCACGGGACUGCUUUGGAAACGGUGUUGCUGGAGUGCAGGAGGGGUAAGCGGAAUUCCUAGUGUAGCGGUGAAAUGCGUAGAUAGUAGGAGGAACACCGGUGGCGAAGGCGGCUUACUGGACUGUAACUGACGUUGAGGCUCGAAGGCGUGGGGAGCAAACAGGAUUAGAUACCCCGGUAGUC